AAUUAGGUAAGCGCGGCUUUGGGGCGGCCGGGCAACAGAACGCCCCUUU
rnacentral:tmRNA from 1 species